GCUGGGAGCCAUAGACCUCGAAGCUGGGGCGUCUGACACCUGAGGCCCGAAGUAGGUGGCCAGCUUCUUAGAGGGCCAACCCAGGGCAUUAACACACCAGGUCAGAAAAAGCAAAAACAAAAACAAACAAAAAAUGAUAAUCUAUACCAAAAUAUGUUAUUACUUUAACACAAAAAUAUGAAAACUAGGUGUUUGAAAUUAUCUUUCCGUACUGUUUGCUUUUCGCUACAGAAAUGCUAUUAUUUAACAGAAUAUUAAUAGGAUUAAUAGUGGCAAUUAGACUAAUCACGUGUGAGAAAAAUAUAUUUCUGUCCUCUGAUACAGGAAUUUUAAGUUUCUAUUAAAUAUUUAAAUUUUGUGGGUUCUAUCUAAGAUGCUAAAUGUAAGACCUUUUAAAAGGAGAAUGUAAAUAAGGCUAAUCAAACAGAUAUUAACUAUAUGUAAUAGGCAUUUAUCUUUCUGUCCCAUCAUACGUUUAGGAGAUAUUUACUCUUUCUGGUUCCUUUUCCAGUAACACCUCUCUGUAUUAGCUGCCUGUAGCCUUUAUGGCAUUCUUCUUUUGGUUUAUGUAAUGCUAAAACUGAAUACAGGCAAACGUGAAAUUCACCUUGACUGUCAGCUCCGCUUUUUGUUUGUUUUGUUUUUGUUUUGUUUUGAGACAGGGUCUCCCUCUGUCGCUCAGACUGGAAUGCAGUGGCGCUAUCUCGGCUUACUGUAACCUCUGCCUCCCAGGUUCAAGUGAUUCUCCCACCUCGGCCUCCAGAGUAGCUGAGACUACAGGGGCGCGCCACUACACCUGGCUAAUUUUUGUAUAUUUUUUGUAGAAAUGGGGUUUUGCCAUCUUGCCCAGGCUAGUCUCGAACUCCUGGGCUCAAGCGAUCCACCCGCCUCAGCCUCCCAAAGUGCUGGGAUGACAGGGUGAGCCACCGCGGCCAGCCGAGCUCUGUUCUUAUUAAGCCCACAUUACAGUGAUUCCUGGAGUCAGUCCAGGGUGAUGACAUUGAUAAGGAGGUGGGGAAGGGGAGUGCUGGGGAGGGAAGGGCGGGGUCCCUUUAAAUGAUAUGGAAGGGGGAAAGGGAGGUGCUGGGUACAGGAGGGUGUGGUCCCUGGCUAGGGCUCCACCCCUGGCCCUGUGCCAACUGACCUAGGUGAGGGCAGGCAUUUUUGUUUUCCUGCCCAAAUGUUGCGUUUCCCAAGACCACCCUGGCCUGCCACGCCCCCAUCCUGUUCCCGCCCCCAUCCUGUCCCUAUAAAUACUCUGAGACCCUAGCAAGCAGACACACAAGCCGCUGGACAUCCAGAGGAACAUGUUGGCGGAAGAAGACAUGACAGACGCUGGCACGCGGGCAGGCCACCCACCAGAAGGACGCGGAGUUUGGCUGGGGCAGUCCAAGGAGAGCCGGUGCUGCGGAGCAGCCCGAUUCCAGGGGAAAACCAUUUCCCUUCUGGCUCCCCCAACUGUUGAGAGCUACUUCCACUCAAAACCCUGCAGUCAUCCUCCAAGCCCAUGUGUGAUCUGAUUCUUCUGGUACACCAAGACAGGAACCCCGGGAUAUGAAAGCCCUCUGUCCUUGCGAUAACGCAGGGAUCUAAUUGAAUUGACUAACAUAAGCCGCCUGCGGACAGCUAAAGAGCAUCCUGUAACACGCCCACUGGGGCUUCAGCUAUAAACAUUCACCCCUAGACACUGCCAUGGGGUCAGAGCCCCACAGCCCGCCCGUCUGUAUACUCCCCUGGAGGUUUGAGCAGCGGGACACUGAAGAAGCGAGCCACACCCCCAUCGCACGCCCUGCCAGGGGGACAAGGGAACUUUUCUCUUAUCAACAUCAACCUAAGUAGCCUCGCAUCAAAAGCAUUUGACUGUCAAUAGUUAGGAUUUUCCCUACCAGCAGUAGCAAGUUUUUAGCCUUAUUGGAAUUAGUUUCCAGCUCUGCAAAAAUGUUCAUCUGCUUUGUAACUCCAGGCUUUUUUGGUAGAGCAGCUGUUUGUUGACCAGUCGCUUUGCCUCUGUAAGUUCACCAUAUAGGCUAUUCAUGUCUAAAGUGUUCAUUUUCAAACCCUCUGAAACUCAUUGGGUAUCUAUUACAAUGUCUGAAGACAAAUAUUUCAUUAACAAAUAAGAAGGUGAUAGACCUGGAGUGAGAAUCCACCCAAUUCAUGUCAAUCGGAGACAAAUUUGCAAUAUCCUGUGAUUCCUGAACUGGCUGUGGUCACUGAUCACUUCUGUCCUGGAGGAACUAGAGACAUUCAAGACAAAUAAGGACUCAUCUAGUCCCCUGAUUAAAGGACUUUUCAUAGAGGCUGCAUUAAGGGCCAAAUUAUGUACAAUGUGCUCUCUGAGAUGGGGAUGUGUAAAUAGCCGUCAAAAUGUCAUCUGGGCAGAAAUUUGUUUGGGAGGAUAAAUUUAUGUUCAGGGGUGAGGGGUGAAUACAAUAGAAAUUUGUAUUUUGCAGAGGGAAAUGUGGGUUCCAUGGUGGGUAGAAAUAAAAUAGAUUAGUAGAAUACUUAGAAUGUCA
rnacentral:lncRNA from 10 species